rnacentral:rRNA from 1 species
UACGGAGGGUGCAAGCGUUAUCCGGAUUCACUGGGUUUAAAGGGUGUGUAGGCGGGCUAUUAAGUCAGCGGUGAAAUCUCCGGGCUCAACCCGGAAACUGCCAUUGAUACUAUUAGUCUUGAAUAUCGUUGAGGUAGGCGGAAUAUAUCAUGUAGCGGUGAAAUGCAUAGAUAUGAUAUAGAACACCGAUUGCGAAGGCAGCUUGCUAAACGAUGAUUGACGCUGAGGCACGAAAGCGUGGGGAGCAAACAGG